GGAUGUGAGGGUGAUCUGGCUGCGACAUCUGCCACCCCACUGAUCACCAGGGUUGAUUUGGCUGGUCCGGCUGGCUAGGUGGGUGUCCCCUUCCUCCCUCACUGGUCCAUGUACAACUGUCCCGAAGCUGCGUGCUUGUUGGAAGAGGAGCACCUUCCCCCAUAGAGGAAGAUCAUUCUUCCGUCAAGGGUACAGAGCAGCUGCGCUCCCCAGCCAGGACCUCCAAACAAGCUCUUAAGGAAAGAAUUUCAAAAUUGCCUAAAUUAAGGUAAGGAGGGGCUUAUCUUUAGUGAGACAAAAGAUUCUUUCUCCUCUUUAAAAAUGAGAUUUGAU
ensembl:misc_RNA 7SK 7SK RNA